ensembl:lncRNA
AUUUUUUUUGGUACCAACUUAGAUGGAAGAAAGCCACCGCUGUUUGUGGGUGCUUCUGGAUGUUUUUCCUAUGGGAUGCCUUGAUCAAACUUUUUCCUGAAUUUUUCUGAAAUUCAACAAUUUCAUAACCUGAAGUGGUGUUUUAAGUGCUGUUCACUCAGCUCCUGGAGGCCGAGAGGGGAUGUGACCUCUUUUCCAAGCAACAAGGAGCUGCCACAACUGUCUACUGCGCCACGGCUGCGGAGCUGGAGGGCCUGGGAGGGAUGUACUUCAACAACUGCUGCCGCUGCCUGCCGUCGCAGGAGGCGCAGGGCGAAGCGACGGCCGCGGCCCUGUGGGAGCUGAGCGAGAGGCUGAUCCAAGAACGAAUUGGCAGGCAGUCCAAAUAACAGGGAGCUCCUGGAAGGAUCAAAACACACGAGUGUGUGCACGCUGAAAACUGCCAACGCUGGAACCUGUCCAAUCUUAUCAUCUAGAGGGUUUCCAUAUACCUCAGAUACAGAUUAACCAGUGUUAAAUGAAAUAAUAGCAGUCACAACAUAGUGAAAAAUGUUAAGUACUAAUGGGAAAUGGGGAAUACUGCGGGUUAAAGGGACAAUGCGGCUUCCUGGGGCUUAGUUAGUCUUGGUUCUCUUUCUUUUGAUUGUAGCCUGUUCAAAGUGUAACCCAAGGAGGCAUCUUUUGUCUUAUUUUAGAAAAGCAAUGCUGCAGAUAUUUUCUGUUGUUUUGAUUAAUGGGUAGGUACGUAGCCCGAUAUGGGAUUUCCUCUUUAUUUUGAUAAUUACUGUCUGUCAGGCUUUAGGUAUUGAUUGGGAGAUGGUAGCUGUGUUGAUUCUUUUUCCCUACAAGGAUUUUAUUGGGUGUGGCAAAUAAAAAGAUAAUUAAGGAAAGAAAUCUUUCCUGCCCUUAACUGCUGGCUGCAAAUACAUCUGCGCUGUCUAGAAAAGAAGGUGCAAGAAGACAUCUGAACAGAAACGGUAAAGUCACAGCUAAUUAAGUAUUUCUGAUUUUUUCUUAAAAGAUUAUAAUAAAAGAUAUGUUGUAAACCAUUCCCUAAAUACCGUUGAGUUAGCAAAGAUGAUGUUGUCUCCUUAAGAACACACAGAGCGUAAUCAGGGGUUUAAAUGGUAUUUCCAUCCAUUUCUCAGUUCACAGUUUUAAGGAGUUUUUUUCUUUGAAAGUUCACAGUUUCUCAGUUCUCCUGAUACUGUAUCCCAUUCCAAAUCUCUCUUUUUUCCUUCAGUUUAAAUUCAAUAAAACAACAUGCUUGCUUGAAUAUUGUCACCUGAAGAGAAAGUUUGUCUCAUUUCUGCAAAUGUCUUAGUUCCAAUUUUAUUUUUUUUUUUUUAGAAAAGAAAACUUGAGGAAAAAUAAAGAGCUUCUUGUUGAUGCCAAGAAAACGCUGUUUUUUUCUUGUUUCUUUCUGAGUUCAUUUUUUGUAUUUUGUGCUUUGUAGCUGUCUUCGCGCCAGAAGGUUGUCCUAAGCCAUCCCCAGUCCAGCAUCACAUUUUCUGUAGACAGAAUAUAAACAAAUAAAUAGAAGGACACAUUGUUAAUAGAAGCUUAUUUGAUCC